UGGAGCAAGAACUCAAGAAAAGAAAAAUUCACAAGCCAAGUCGCUACGUUGAUCAAGAGAUGUGCAAUGCUCCAAAGCCACCACAUAAUUUCCCAGGGCCCUCAAGAAGCCAAGAUAGUCAGGAGAAUGACCUUCGAGAAGAUAAUGAAGACUGGAUGUGCACAAAGGAGGCUGCUCAUGUGUCUGAUAAUACACAGGCACGAG